GAUUGACCGAAAGGUCUUAUCUUAUCAUCCCUCACCUCUGUGAACCGUUUGACCUCCGGGUCUAACAACAUACAAACAUCAGUGUAACGAACGUCUUGUUAACAUAACAAAAAUAAAACUUUUAACAACGGAUCUCUUGGCUCU
rnacentral:misc_RNA from 1 species